GACGAACGCUGGCGGCGUGCUUAACACAUGCAAGUCGAACGGAAAGGCCCUGCUUUUGUGGGGUGCUCGAGUGGCGAACGGGUGAGUAACACGUGAGUAACCUGCCCUUGACUUUGGGAUAACUUCAGGAAACUGGGGCUAAUACCGGAUAGGAGCUCCUGCUGCAUGGUGGGGGUUGGAAAGUUUCGGCGGUUGGGGAUGGACUCGCGGCUUUCAGCUUGUUGGUGGGGUAGUGGCUUACCAAGGCUUUGACGGGUAGCCGGCCUGAGAGGGUGACCGGCCACAUUGGGACUGAGAUACGGCCCAGACUCCUACGGGAGGCAGCAGUGGGGAAUAUUGCACAAUGGGCGGAAGCCUGAUGCAGCAACGCCGCGUGCGGGAUGACGGCCUUCGGGUUGUAAACCGCUUUCGCCUGUGACGAAGCGUGAGUGACGGUAAUGGGUAAAGAAGCACCGGCUAACUACGUG
rnacentral:rRNA from 1 species